AGGAAGGAGAAGUAGUGGUGAGGCAGACCGGCGUCUCCGGUUAAGCGUGGUGCGGCGAUGGUGUGACAGACCGGCGCUGGAGUCUUUUUUUUUUUUUUUUUUUUUUUGUAAUUGUCAAUGUAUCCGAGUCAUUCGUUUCCAGGCCUGAGAUGCAGAAGGUCCUUCACUUCCUCUUAACCUUUAGCUGUGCGCUUAUCGCAAUGGAACAUACUUUAAAGUGUUGAACUUUUUCUUCUUUUGGCUGGAGAUUGAGAUGCUUCAGGAUUCUAAUCUAUCAAUAUUUAAAUCUGAAGCCAAAAGUUCUCAGGUUGAGAUGGAGAGAACAGAUCCGGAGGCGGAGAGAGAAUAGACGCUAUAGGAGCUUGUCGGAGGAAUGGUAGAAGAAGCUUGACGACGGAGGAGGUAAGGCCUGGUCGUGCGGCGGAGAUGCGAGUGCGGCAGAGACUGAAGAAGAACAUGGUUUAGUGGCUGUAUUAGGUUUAGUUAGGGUUAGUUAAUAAACCAAUUUGUAAUAGUAAACAAUGUAAACCAAAAUUCAAUUUAUUGUAAACUAAAUUUAAUUUAUAAAUAAAAUUAAUUGUAUU